CUAAUAAGCCAGGGGAGCCUGGGAGAACCGGGCUGAGAGGGUGUCUAGGCGUAUCGCCACCGACACCGACCCUUUGAACCUGAUCUGGGUUAUGCCAGCGGAGGGAGGAGCAGGGUGCAGGUG
rnacentral:ncRNA from 2 species